CAGCCGCCGCGGUAAUACGGAGGGUGCAAGCGUUAAUCGGAAUUACUGGGCGUAAAGCGUGCGUAGGCGGUUCGUUAAGUCUGUUGUGAAAGCCCCGGGCUCAACCUGGGAAUGGCAAUGGAUACUGGCGAGCUAGAGUGUGUCAGAGGAUGGUGGAAUUCCCGGUGUAGCGGUGAAAUGCGUAGAGAUCGGGAGGAACAUCAGUGGCGAAGGCGGCCAUCUGGGACAACACUGACGCUGAGGCGCGAAAGCGUGGGGAGCAAACAGGAUUAGAUACCCCUGUAGUCCCUGUCUCUUAUAC
rnacentral:rRNA from 1 species